GUCGAGGAUCUUUUGCAAUGGGCGAAAGCCUGACAAUGCGACGCCGCGUGAGGGAUGAAGGUUUUCGGAUCGUAAACCUCUGUCGAGGGGGAUGAUGGCUUUUUGGACUAAUAAUCUAAAAGGUUGACAGUACCCUUGAAGGAAGCCACGGCUAACUCCGUGCCAGCAGCCGCGGUAAUACGGAGGUGGCAAGCGUUACUCGGAUUCAUUGGGUGUAAAGGGCGAGUAGGCGGUUACGUAAGUUGAAUGUGAAAUCCCACGGCUUAACCGUGGAACUGCAUUCAAAACUGCGCGACUUGGGUGUGGGAGAGGAGAAUGGAAUUCCCGGUGUAAGGGUGAAAUCUGUGGAUAUCGGGAGGAACACCAGUGGCGAAGGCGAUUCUCUGGCCCAUUACCGACGCUGAGAAGCGAAAGCGUGGGGAGCAAACAGGAUUAGAUACCCUGGUAGUCC
rnacentral:rRNA from 1 species